rnacentral:rRNA from 1 species
GAAGCAAAGCCGCGAGGCGGAGCGAAUCCCCAAAAGGCGUCUCAGUUCGGAUUGCAGGCUGCAACUCGCCUGUAUGAAAUCGGAAUUGCUAGUAAUCGUGGAUCAGCAUGCCACGGUGAAUACGUUCCCGGGCCUUGUACACACCGCCCGUCACACCAUGAGAGCCGGGAACACCCGAAGUCCGUAGUCUAACCGCAAGGAGGACGCUGCCGAAGGUAGGAUUGGCGACUGGGGUGAAGUCGUAACAAGGUACC